AUUGCAAGAAGAAUAUUAAAAAUUAUAAAUAUUAUUACAUAUAAUUUUAUCAGUAUAAAUCUCAACUGACAAUUUUGUAUAUGAACUUUUAUUUAUUUUGGACUUUAGAAUCGACCUUGUACUUUACAAAUAUACAUAUGUAAAUAUACAUAUAUAUAUAUAUUAACAUUAUUAACAUUUCGUAAAUCUUUAUUCGCAAGCUUCUAUGUACAAGUUUUUCACGAAUUACUAUCAUAAUCAAUAAUUGCUUUUACUGUCUCUUAUUGUUUGCAAACUGUUCAUCACGAAUUAUGAGUUUUUGCAUGUGAAACGAUAAUUUAAAGAGUUACAAAGAAAAAUGUGUAUAUAAACAUAAAGAAUGAAAAAAUGUUACACUGCAAUUUUGAACAAUUCAUUCCAUACUGAAUUAUGGUAGCAAGAUUUCUGCGCAGUAUAGUGCGCAUAUCUCAUAUAAAAUUCUAUGGUAACCAAUCAACGAACAGUAUAAAUUUGUGUAAGUAUAGUAACGUAACUGAUUUUAUAAGAGUUCAAAUGUUAUUCAUAGUUGAAUUGCGGAACUGUGUGUUUCGUAUUAUAUUAUAUUCAAUAUUCAUAUGUGAUUUUAUAUUAAAAUAUUAUUUAAUAUUAUAAUGUAAUAUAUAUUUUAUAAUGUAAUAUGUGCUAAAUGAAGUAUACGAAUAAGAAUGUAUUAUAUAUAUAUAUUUGAUUAUUAGAAAUUUUAAAAAGAAGAAAUGGAUAUACAUAUGAAUGCACGUGUUCGCAAAAAUGUAUAACAUUACAUAUUAAUCAUUAAUUUAUUUGAGAGUUCUGUAAGGCAGAAAUGCAGUUUAAUGACUCAAUACUGAUGACGAAAACUUUCUUAAUGUAUUUUUUGAUGAUUUUGAACUUUCUUUUGAUGUAGUAUUGAAAAUUAUCAUCUGGAUGUUGACGCUGGAUUUCAUGAGACUGAAUUCAGAACCAUAUUAAUGAGAAUGCUGUUUCCUAUUUUGAAUCCAUGGAUAAAGAUCAAGAAGGAGUAUAACAAAAAUAUUUGAUAGAUGAAGUUUCUUGAAAAUUUCUUGAAAAUUGAUAUAGAAAAAUAGAAAUAAUUCUUAUAACAACAAAAAUGAAAAUCUAAUGGAUUAUUCAAGUGAAAAUAAUGAUCAGCAAAAUAUUCGUACCAUUGCUUAUUUAAAUUUAAGUGAAAGUAGUUACUUUCAUAUAUAAUUCAUAAAUGUGCAAAACAAGCAACUAUAUUAAGCAGUGAUAAUUCUGACAUAGCAGAGGACGAAUAAAAUUAAAAUGCAAAGAAAAAUAUUGUUAAUAUUAAUAAAUAUUAAUAUUAAUAAUAUAAAUAUUAAAUUCACUAAAAUAUGCUUCAAUUUUAUGAAGAUUAGAAAAAACGAAACAUUUCUAUGUUUUAGAACAAGUUAUGUGAUGAUUUUUUCUAUACAAUAGUUAGAGAAAAUAGUUAGAGAAAAUAUACAAAAAUAAAAGAAAAUGCAGAAUAUGAAAAAAAACUUCGAUUGAUUAAAAAAGAAAUAAAUAUCACCAAUCACGACAUUUUAAUUAAACGAUCUCGAACAGAAUUAACCAAAAACGUCAAUAUAGUCACUUAUUUAUUAAUAAUUUUUUUCGCAUUAAUAGAUCAUUUCGCACCAUUAUUUUAACUUUUUAACUAACCUUAUUACUACAAACCUAACUACAAACUUAGGCUUUGCAUCAUUAAAUUGAAAUAGAAUCAUUGAAAUCACAAUGAUAACAUGUAAUCAAAACGCUCUCAACAAUAAUUAAAUAUUCUUCAAUUGUAAUUGAAGAUGAAUUUGAGGUAAACGAUGUUGCACAGGUAAUAAAAAAGUUAGUAUGUAAUAAAAAACAAUAGUUUUAAUAAACAUGUGAUAUUAUAUUAUAUAUUAUAUAUGAAUAUAUUAUAUAAAUAUAUUAUAUGAAUAUAUUGAGAAAAUUUGGAGAACAUCUAAAACAUUGAACAGAUGGUACAGGAUGAUACUGCAACGAUAAUGUCAUUUUUAAGAGAAGAAUUUGGAAAAUCCUUGGAAUUGUAUAUUUAUUAGAAAGACUGCGGCGGGACUAAAGUGUGAACGUGAUCUUGAAACAAUAUUUUCCAUCCAUAUCAAUCUCAACGAUAAUCAGCAUCAUCCUGUUUGAGAAGAAUUAUUGCAAACAUUUCUCUGUUUCCAGGAACAGUUUCCUGGAAAUAGAGAAAUGUUUUUUGCAGAACUCUGUAGAGUUGGAAUAGCCUCUUAAUUUGAUUCUAGGAUUUCCUUGGAUUGCUCAAUUAGAAGACUGGUCCAUAAUGUUAUUGGUCGUUUGUGUACCGCAUCGAAGAUACGCGAUUUCUCGAGAUAAACAUGAAAGAAGAAGGUACGAGCUUUUGAAAGAAAUUUCGAACUUCAAAACUGUUUGAAUUUCGAAAUUUUUGUAAUUUUAGAACUUCUUAAAUAUCAAAACUUUAUAUCUUAGAAUCUUCCUUCCUAUCCUAGAAUCUUAUAAUCUAAAACAAACAAAACUUUAGAACGUUGUGAUCAAAUAAUAAACGUAAACGUUCAUUAGCAUAUAAACUUUGCCCUUGAUCCGUUUAGAAUAGAACUUCGUAAUAAAUUAAUUUUUAUGGUAUUAUUAUUAUAUAUCAUAGUUCCAGAAAUAGGUUAGAACUAACAGCAUUUGUAUGAUAUUAUUAUUAUAUAUCAUAGUUUCAGAAAUAGGUUAGAACUAACAGCAUUUACGAUUAGAUUGAAAAAAAAAACAUUUUAGAAUUUUGGAAUAAACAAAAA